rnacentral:rRNA from 1 species
GACAAACGCUGGCGGCAUGCCUAACACAUGCAAGUCGAACGGACAGACCAGGGAAGCUUUUCGGAGUGGAACUGGAAAGUUAGUGGCGGAUGGGUGAGUAACGCGUGGACAACCUACCUUGUAAAGGGGAAUAACCUCGAGAAAUCGAAGCUAAUACCCCAUAAUAACCUUGCUUCGCAUGAAGUAAGGAGGAAAGGCGGCCUUAGCGCUGUCGAUACCAGAUGGGUCGGCGUCUGAUUAGCUAGUUGGUGAGGUAAAGGCUCACCAAGGCGACGAUCAGGAGCCGGCGUGAGAGGGUGAACGGCCACAUUGGGACUGAGACACGGCCCAAACUCCUACGGGAGGCAGCAGUGGGGAAUCUUCCGCAAUGGGCGAAAGCCUGACGGAGCGAUGCCGCGUGAGUGAAGAAGGCCUUCGGGUUGUAAAACUCUGUCCUUAUCGAAGAGAGAGUGUUGUAGUAACUGACAAUACUAGGACGGUAGAUGAGGAGGAAGCCCCGGCUAACUAUGUG